CCUGCCACCAGGUCUGGCUAAUUUUUUGUAUUUUUAGUAGAGUCGGGGUUGCACCACGUUGGCCGGAUUUUAGAUGAGAGUUUCUUCACCUCAGCAGUACUGUCAUUUUGGAGGGCAGAAUUCUUUGUUGUGGUGCACUGUCCUGUGCACCACAGUCCUGUGCACUGUCCUGUCGCAGGGUGUUCAGCGUCCUAACCAAACUCUACCCACUAGAUGCCAUGGGCUCUUCCCAGUGGUGGCAAUUAACAAAGUCUCCAGACAGACCUAUGUGUCCCCUGAGGGGCAAAGUUACCUCCACUUGAAGACCAGUGAUGUGCUGGAUGGAGACCAGUAUUAAAAUAAUAAUAGAAAUCAUAAUGUAACUCAUGUACUUAAGGUAAGUCCUUUUUGAUGGAACAUUUAUUUCAGUUAAUAAUAUUUGUAUAUGUCUGUCCUGGUAGUUUGUUUUUUUUUAACUUUUUAUUUUGAUUUAAUACCAGAGUUUGAAAAAUUUGCAAAAGGAAUUAAUACAAAGACCUCUGAUUACCCCAGAUUCUAAGUUUCCACAUGGGCUUUCUCCUCCCUCCCCCUGAGUCCCCCAGCCCCUGCUCCCCGCCUUUCUCUCUCCCCGCCCAGCAAGCUCCCUAGGAGCACAGCACCGCUUAUGACAAAAACAUCAUUUUCUUUUCUCUGAGGCGGCAUUCCUGACGUUUGGAUUUAGGCUGAUAAGUGACAGUUACAAUCAUCCUUGCCUGUGUUGUCCUUCCCAUGUUAGGUCUGUCAUGCCAUGUGUGUCUGCAGUUUAUAACAAUCUAUAUCAUACAUGCCUUUUGAAAAGUUUUGAAAACUUAUCCAGUGAAUCCCUGAGCACCAAAUGUUCUUUUGUGUUAUUUUUCUUUAUUAGGCUAUUAUUACUUUAUUUAGAAUCUCUCUCUCUUUUUUAGAGAGAGCCUGUCUUUCUUGCCUAACCUAGAGUGCAGCGGCGUAUUUAUCAUAACUCAGUUCAGCCUCGAACCCCUGGGCUCAAACAGUUCUCCCCGCACCACCGCCCCCACCGGGCUUCUGGGCAUGGUGAACUCUCUCCUGGAACCCUUGGGGCUGGGAGGUGGGAGGGGAUCCUAUUCCUUCCAGCCCCGGGAGCGCGCUUCGGGCCUCCAGAUUGGCGCGUUUCGGGGGCAGAGCGGGCCGAGGGGCGGAGUCUCAGCAAGGCUCCCUCUCUACCCUCUCUGGGCCUCUCACGAAGUCUGAGCCCCGCCCCGCCGAAGCCUGUCUGCAGAAUCCGCAGCAACCAGCACCAUGCCCAUGACACUGGGGUACUGGAACAUCCGCGGGCUGGCCCACUCCAUCCGCCUGCUCCUGGAAUACACAGGCUCAAGUUACGAGGAAAAGAAGUACACAAUGGGGGAUGCUCCUGACUAUGACAUAG